rnacentral:rRNA from 1 species
CCUACGGGUGGCAGCAGUGAGGAAUAUUGGUCAAUGGGCGCGAGCCUGAACCAGCCAAGUCGCGUGAGGGAUGACGGUCCUACGGAUUGUAAACCUCUUUUGCCGGGGAGCAAGCGUGCGUUCGUGAACGCGCGUCGAGAGUACCCGGAGAAAAAGCAUCGGCUAACUCCGUGCCAGCAGCCGCGGUAAUACGGAGGAUGCGAGCGUUAUCCGGAUUUAUUGGGUUUAAAGGGUGCGUAGGCGGGAUGCCAAGUCAGCGGUAAAAAUGCGGUGCUCAACGCCGUCGAGCCGUUGAAACUGGCGUUCUUGAGUGCGCGAAGGGUAGGCGGAAUGCGUGGUGUAGCGGUGAAAUGCAUAGAUAUCACGCAGAACUCCGAUCGCGAAGGCAGCCUACCGGCGCGCAACUGACGCUCAUGCACGAAAGCGUGGGUAUCGAACAGGAUUAGAUACCCUGGUAGUC